UCAUAGCUCAUUUUAGCCUCCAACUCCUGCA
rnacentral:piRNA from 1 species